rnacentral:rRNA from 1 species
GUGAGGAAUAUUGGGCAAUGGGCGAAAGCCUGACCCAGCAACGCCGCGUGGAGGAUGAAUGCCGUAAGGUUGUAAACUCCUGUUAGAGGGGAAGAAUAAUCCCGAUCGACUCGGGACUUGACUGUACCCUCAGAGAAAGCUCCGGCUAACUACGUGCCAGCAGCCGCGGUAAUACGUAGGGAGCAAGCGUUGUCCGGAUUUACUGGGUGUAAAGGGCGCGCAGGCGGGUUGGUAAGUCAGAGGUGAAAUCCUACAGCUUAACUGUAGAACUGCCUUUGAUACUACUGAUCUUGAGUAUGGAAGAGAGAGACGGAAUUCCAGGUGUAGUGGUGAAAUACGUAGAUAUCUGGAAGAACACCAGUUGCGAAGGCGGUCUCUUGGUCCAAUACUGACGCUGAGGCGCGAAAGCGUGGGUAGCAAACAGG